CGCGCCCGAACGCUGAACCUCGUCACUGGCGCGACCUCCCGGAUGGUCCGGGCGCACGGACGAGGGUGGGGGACCCACGUACGACGACGCAGCAGUCAGGCGUCUUGGGGUGAAGCCGGUACGCCGGCCGGGCACCUGACAGCCCGAACCCGACAGCUCACCUCACAGGCGUUCGUCAGGAAGGAAUC
rnacentral:sRNA from 2 species